UGGUGUCCUAGGCUGUGCGGACCCAGACUGGGAAUUAGAGAUGGUCCUAUCUGAGGUCGGAUCUGGGCUGAGUGCAGCGUGCCUGGGAGUGAGGCAGAUCUGCGAGUGACUUUUACUUCUGACUCCAGUAGUUAGAAAGGGACACUGGCUGGUUCUUCGGAGAUGGUGACAUAAUGAUGUUACGCAACUUUCAAACUUGGAUUUAUUUUUGGAGACACUACCAUUCUGAGUCAGAGAUGCAUGGGGGAGGCUCACUGUAGGAAGAGAUGUCACUUCAGUCAUUGACCCUGUGAAAAAGAGGGCAGGGAGAAUAAGGUGUGCCUUUCAAGAUUUCGUCUCUUCAAAGACAGAAAGAACUGAAAUGCAUCCUCCCAAAGUCUAUGAACAGAAUUUUACUGAAACUGAUUUUGGUUGUCAACUUGACUGGAUCUGGAAUCAACUAAAACUCAAGUCUUCGGGCAUCCCUGUGAAGGCCUUUCUUAAUCACAGCAUCUGAAGUUGGAAGAAUCAACGUAAAUGGGAGCAAGGAAGAAGGAAAUGUUGUUAUUUGCCUGCUUGCUUGUACUCUUACUGAGAAGUUCAUCUCCUGUUGCUGCAAAAUUAAUCAUCAAUAACACACAGCUCCUUCAGGAUUCUAUUGUAGACUGAAGGCCAACAGCUCUCCAUGAAUCCCCUAGGCCUUCAGCACCAGACUGGCACUGCUGAGAUUUGCAGAAUGAACAAAUAGUGCAACCUUAGCCUAUCCUGUGUGAGAAAGCCGUUCCUGGAUUACCUGGACCAUUUCAUGGAAUAAAGGAAACAUACCUUCAUUUCAGUGUCAGCUGCACAGAUUGUCAGUGAUUGUCUGGAAUGCAUCUGAAGCAACCAGAGGCUACAUCUAAAUCCAGUGGGGAAUAUUUUCUCAUUUGAUUAGCAAUGCCUGCCAAGGACAUGACAGGGAAGAAGAUCUCUAAGACCAUCUUCUGUCCCUGUCUGAAUGUUCGUUGAGGUGCCUAAAACACGAGCACAUGAGUCUGAACAGGAAACAGAUGUCAAGCAUAAAUUAGGAAUAUUCCAAGAAAACCUAUUUACAUUGGAACCAAUUAUGGAAGGGCAAUUUCCAUGAACAUGUAUAACUGAAGAAUAUUCAUGAAUUUCCUGAACUUUAAAUGAUAGGAAUUGAAUAAUAGAGCUGAAGGAGAGAAUGGAUUCAAAAGAAUUCAUGUUAAAGAAUGUGUUGCUGAUUUCCACAGUGACAAUCUUUAACAAAUUGUUCAAGUUCCAAAAUUAUGUGGGAGAGCACUAUACCAAGAAUUCUAAAGGCAGUUGCUGAGCUCCCAGCAUCUUGUCAACCUCAAAACUACAGAAACAUGGAAGAGGUGCCCAAGUCCACUCUGAAGUCAGACUGUUGACACACGAAUUUCGAAAACUGCUUUUGGAGAAAAGAUGAUUUCAUCAGAAACUUCUACUUCUGAAAUCAAGAAUUUAUUUGUGAAAGAAAAACUAAAUUCAUAAGUGACUUGGGGAAAAGGCUGUACCUUUAUGCAGAUGCCGGACACUUUACAACAGUAAGAAUUUGAUUGAGUAGCUAUUAGUAUGUCACAUGUGUUAAAAAAUAAAAACGGAAAAUAUGUGUCUUCA